rnacentral:rRNA from 1 species
CCUACGGGAGGCAGCAGUGGGGAAUCUUGGACAAUGGGCGAAAGCCUGAUCCAGCGACGCCGCGUGGGGGAUGAAGCCCUUCGGGGUGUAAACCCCUGUUGCGAGGGAGGAAUAAGGCCUGGAGGAAAUGCCAGGCCGAUGACUGUACCUCGCGAGGAAGCCCCGGCUAACUACGUGCCAGCAGCCGCGGUAAUACGUAGGGGGCGAGCGUUACCCGGAUUCACUGGGCGUAAAGCGGGUGUAGGCGGCUCGGUAAGUCGGGUGUGAAAUCCCACAGCUCAACUGUGGAAUUGCGCCCGAAACUGCUGAGCUUGGGGCCGGUAGAGGGAGACGGAACUGCCGGUGUAGGGGUGAAAUCCGUAGAUAUCGGCAGGAACGCCGGUGGGGAAGCCGGUCUCCUGGGCCGCGCCCGACGCUGAGACCCGAAAGCUAGGGGAGCAAACCG